rnacentral:rRNA from 1 species
GACGGAGGAUGCAAGCGUUAUCCGGAAUGAUUGGGCGUAAAGCGUCCGCAGGUGGCAGUUCAAGUCUGCUGUCAAAGACCGGGGCUUAACGUCGGAAAGGCAGUGGAAACUGAACAGCUAGAGUAUGGUAGGGGCAGAGGGAAUUCCUGGUGUAGCGGUGAAAUGCGUAGAGAUCAGGAAGAACAUCGGUGGCGAAGGCGCUCUGCUGGACCAUAACUGACACUCAGGGACGAAAGCUAGGGGAGCGAAUGGG